UUGUCUGUUUACUCUGCUGACAGUUCCUUUUGCUGUGCAAAAGCUCUUUAGUUUAAUUAGGUCCAAGCUAUUUAUCUUUGUUUUUAUUGCAUUUGCUUUUGGGUUCUUGGUCAUGAAGUCCUUGCCUAAUACAAUGUCUAGAAGGGUUUUACCUAUAUUUUCUUCUAGGGUUUUUAUGGUGUUAGGUCUUAUGGUUAAGUC